rnacentral:misc_RNA from 1 species
AGAUGCGCCCACAAAAGAGAGAGAUGUCCCCAACAUUGGGGUAAUAGGAUCUGGAGGGGGGUUCAGAGCUAUGACCGCCUACAGUGGAGUAUUCACAUGCCCUAGUGGACAGUCACAUUUUAGACAUGACCACUUAUGUCGGAGGACUUUCAGGAUCUGCAUGGUAUUUGUCUCAGCUUUACUCUCACCCAGACUGGCCACAGAAAACACCAGGGGGAACUCCGAGAGGAGCUAGGUAGAAAUAUAGAACACAGUCCUUUUUGGCUGCUGAAACCACAAAGUCUGUACACUUAUGUCUCCAGAAUUGUCCAGAAGAGGCGCCAGGGACAGCCAGGUCAGCUUCACAGGAUUUCUUUGGGUGCCUAGUGGGGGACACAAUCCUCAAAAACAGAUUAGAGUCAAAGUUAACUGAUCAGCAGGAUAUUUUGAAGAAGGCCGAAGUUCCUAUGCCACUGUAUACUUGCCUACAUGUCAAAAAAAAUGUUUCCGCCGAAGUCUUUCAUGAAUGGAUGGAGUUUACUCCUUAUGAGAUAGGCCUUCCAAAGUAUGGAACAUUUAUGAAAUCUCAGCUCUUUGGAAGCAAGUUUUUUAUGGGACAGUUAGUAAAACAGUAUGAGGAGCCACCCCUCCAUUUCUUACAAGGUGUAUGGGGAAGUGCCUUCUGUAUACAGAUCUCUAGGUUGUUACGGGAUGACAAGAAAGCCGCCUGUGAGCAAGACAUAUCAGAUGAUGUAGAACAGGAGCGGGAAGAAAUGGUGAAAGAACUGGCGAAUUGAUUUGUCAACACAAUCUGAUGAAGAAAGUGACUCAAGUGAAUCUGACAGUGAUGAAAAUGAAGCAGAAAAAAAACACAUAUUGAAACCAAAGAAAGCCUUGAGAAUCAGCAGCAGAAAAAAGACAACCAGCAGACCUUCCUUCUGGAAAGACAUGUUCAAGAACCUCUACCAAAGCAGUCAUUUCAUGAAAUCCAUUGAAGGCCGAGCGGCCAAGGUCCACAGCUUCAUGCGAGGCCUGUCCAUGUCUCAUUGCUACCCCUUCUCACCAUUCGCAGACCCAAGUAGUCCAGCCUUUGAUGAUCUUGAUGCAUCAUUCAGUGGUGCAAACCCCUUUUCCAAGAUCUUUGAGAUGUACCCGACCUCCAUGAAGAAGCUGUAUGUGGUUGAUGGGGGUCUGACCUUUAACUCGCCCUUCCCCCUCGUUCUGCGGCCCCAGAGGGAGGUGGACCUGAUACUGUCCUUUGAUUUCAGUGCUCGCCCCAGUGACACUGCCCUCCCCUUUAAGGAAAUAUUGUUAGCUCAGCAAUGGGCCAAUCUGAAUAAAGUGCCAUUUCCAAAGAUUGAUCAGAACAUUGUGAAUGUUGAGGGUCGCAAGGAAUGCUACGUGUUUGAGGACCCAGAGGAUCCCAAAUGUCCAGUGGUCUUACACUUUGUGUUAGCCAACAUCAGAUUCAGAGAUGAGAUUAAACCAGGUGUUCCCAGAACAACAGAUGAAGAAAAAGAAUUUGCAGACUUUGAUAUUUUUGACGAUCCGCAAAGACCAUAUUCAACAUUCAAUUUCAAAUACCCCAAGAAAUCCUUCGAGAGACUGUCUAAACUGACCGAGUACAACACGCUGUUGUACACAGAUCUUAUCAAAGGAAAAAUCAAGCAGUGCAUUCAGAGGAGACAGAAACACUACAGUGAUAUCAAACGCCCCAUCGGACUGAGCGACAUUAAAAAACUGCCCAUAAACAGGGAACACUCUGUGAAUUUGGAGCACUAUGUGGAAUCAUUCGAUGAUGGUCUCUAUGAUGAGAUGAAUAAGUAGAAAGCCAGACUGAUUCAGCCGUGUUGUUUCAUACCCCCGUACCCUGGGGGGGCUACUUCUACUUCCAUUUAAUUGUCUGUGUGUUUGUGGCUUCUUUGAGUUCUUUUUUUUGGUGACCAUGCAAGACCAGAGAUAUGUUGAACUGAGCUUCGCAAACAGGCCUUAGAUGAUUUGUGUGGUCAGUACGUGAACAAUGUAUUUCUGCUGUUGUAAUUCACACUUGUAAAAUGUGGGGAAUGUUUUGUUUUUUAUCCAUUAAUAAUUUCUGUGUACUUGAUCAUAUCAAUUAUCACUCAGAGAGAGAGAGAGAUAUAUAUAUUAAGUAGACAAAAUAGAAAAGGCUAAUUAUUAUAUAAAGAUACAUGUACUUACAUUUAUUUUUGUGUGUGCAAUAAUCUUCUUAAAAUCAUGUCUUUUGAAAUUGGCUUUGUUGCAUCAUGUUGCAGAUAUCAUUAAUAAAAACUACAAUUGG